UGUAUCCACCAAUAUUGAGUGUUCUGAGGCAUCCAGGGGAGUGAGCUGCGUAUCCACCAAUACUGAGUGUUCUAAGAUAUCCAUGGGAAUGGGCUGUGUAUCCACCAAUACUGAGUGUUUUGAGGCAUCCAGGGGAGUGAGCUGCGUAUCCACCAAUACUGAGUGUUCUAAGAUAUCCAUGGGAGUGGGCUGCAUAUCCACCAAUACUGGGUGUUCUGAGGCAUCCAUGAGAGUGGGCUGCAUAUCCACCAAUACUGGAUAUGAACUAUGGGGGCACAUUCAGAGCAUAGCAGGGGCCUAGGGCCAUGCGAUAUCAGCUUGACCUCUGGAGGGGCUAAGACUAAACCAGUCACAUU
rnacentral:lncRNA from 1 species